CUCCUACGGGAGACAGCAGUGGGGAAUAUUGGACAAUGGGGGGCAACCCUGAUCCAGCAAUGCCGCGUGAGUGAUGAAGGCCUUCGGGUUGUAAAGCUCUUUCGGCGGGGAAGAUGAUGACGGUACCUAUAGAAGAAGCCCCGGCUAACUUCGUGCCAGCAGCCGCGUAAUAC
rnacentral:rRNA from 1 species